rnacentral:tRNA from 1 species
AAUUAAUGAGCUUGUAUAAGCAUAUGUUUUGAAAACAUAAGAAAGUAUAAAAUUACUAUUAAUUU